UGCGUAGGUGGGUAUGUAAGUUGGAUGUGAAAGCCCCGGGCUUAACCUGGGAGGGUCAUCCAAUACUGCGUAUCUAGAGUAUGGUAGAGGGUAGUAGAAUUUCCGGUGUAGCGGUGAAAUGCGUAGAGAUCGGGAAGAACAUCAGUGGCGAAGGCGGUCUGCUGGGCCGUUGCUGACGCUGAGGCGCGACAGCGUGGGGAGCAAACA
rnacentral:rRNA from 1 species